rnacentral:misc_RNA from 1 species
AGUCAGAUAACGUCCAUAAUUCCUCAUCGAAUCAAUACCAUAACAAAACACUACUCUUCGCGAAACACAUUGACGCAUUAUUGUUCUAAGAGCCUUAUUGACCGUUAAGCUGACGAUGUGUUCCCCCGGGUAAUCGGUCUGUGAAGAACGAUCACGACGUCCAAACGUGAAAACAAAUUCGCGCGAUUUAAACUUUUCCAGUCCAAUGACUCGAUUGAGUGCUUACGUAAAGAUCUUAACCCAACCCCUUCGAAACUUAUAAUACCAUAACUACCAAGGUGGACAUUAACUUGUUAAAAAGUUUAAGUUAAGUUAAAAAGUUAUUUGAACUUAACUAGUAAAUUAUUUUUGUCUUCACUUAUUAACUUAUUUAGUUAAAAUAAUGUUGAUUGUAUUGUAACGUAACUUUUUUUAGUUAAUUAUCAUUGUCGUGCAGUUAAGUUAAUUUUCUCUUCGUGUCAGCGGAACCCACUAGACAAUACUGAUUCGAUGACUCUUUUUCGAUUUUGAGCCCUGGUCACAUUCGCUUUGGUUCUUACGACUGUAGUCUUGACGAGAUGGUACGUGCUGAGGAAUCGCAAAAUUAGACGAGAGAUAUUGGAGUCUUGCAGAACCUGCAAAAACAAAAACAAUAGCACACAUGGAUUCGAUGAUCAACUGACCAAAGAUAACUUGUCGGUCAUUCUAAAAGGCAAUCGGUUUGUAUUGUUUUUUAUCGGUGGUUUGAUUCUCCUUGGAUACUUCCUCAGGAUGUUACCGACCGGAUUCACUUCCCAUCUACUACUUUUCCUAAUACUAGUAUACACCUUUCACACGCUAAUGUCGAAGUGUUACGCGAUUAACGUAAUUUGGUGUCAUGGAAUCAUUUCUAUAAACGCUGACAUUGAUAUAGCAUUAUUUCCAAAACUAAGAAUUCUGAAAAUAUUUCAACUCAGAGCUAGCGGUGAAACAACGACGUGAUACUAAAUAUAUAUAUUAUGUUUAUGAAAAUUAUACCUUUAACCCUGGAGAAAACAAAUGGAAAAAAGUAUCAAAAUUUCCGAUGAAUUCAAAGUUUAAAUUGUAUACGAGUAAGGUCAAUGAUGGAAAUUAUGGUUGAAGAUUGAGAUUUGGCAGAAGAAAAUUUUAUUCACGACAAAAUUACCACGAAAUUAUGGCAAAAUAUUUUAUCACCCCUCAAAAUUAACCUAAAUUAAUUAUAUUAAUUUGAUUUUA